rnacentral:tRNA from 1 species
UGGCGCGCGAGCCGCGUUUUCGCGUGCGGCGCCGGUUGCGGGCCGGCGACAUGUGGGCGUUCGACAACCGGCGCGUGCUGCACGCGCGCACCGA